GCCGGGCGUGGUGGCACAGGCCUGUAAUCCCAACGGCUUGGGAGGCUGAGGCAGGAGGAUUGCAGCGAGACCCUGUUUCAA
rnacentral:sRNA from 1 species